UACGUAGGUGGCAAGCGUUGUCCGGAUUUAUUGGGCGUAAAGGGAGCGCAGGUGGUUUCUUAAGUCUGAUGUGAAAGCCCACGGCUUAACCGUGGAGGGUCAUUGGAAACUGGUCGACUUGAGUGCAGAAGAGGGAAGUGGAAUUCCAUGUGUAGCGGUGAAAUGCGUAGAGAUAUGGAGGAACACCAGUGGCGAAGGCGGCUUCCUGGUCUGUAACUGACACUGAGGCGCAAAAGCGUGGGGAGCAAACAGGAUUAGAUACCCUGGUA
rnacentral:rRNA from 1 species